rnacentral:rRNA from 1 species
GGAAGGCGGGGAUGACGUCAAGUCCUCAUGGCCCUUACGCGUUGGGCUACACACGUGCUACAAUGGCAGUGACAAUGGGAUAAUCCCCAAAAGCUGUCUCAGUUCGGAUUGUCGGCUGCAACUCGCCGGCAUGAAGUUGGAAUCGCUAGUAAUCGUGGAUCAGCAUGCCACGGUGAAUACGUUCCCGGGCCUUGUACACACCGCCCGUCACACCAUGGGAGUUGGAUCUACCCGAAGAUUGUGAGCUAACUUCGGAGGCAGCAAGCCACGGUAGGUUCAGCGACUGGGGUGAAGUCGAAACAAGGUAGCCGUAGGGGAACCUGCGGCUGG